UACGGAGGGUGCAAGCGUUGUUCGGAUUUACUGGGCGUAAAGCGCGCGCAGGUGGGUGUACAAGUCGGAAGUGAAAUCCCAGGGCUCAACCCUGGGGCUGCUCCCGAAACUGUACGCCUAGGGACUGGUAGAGGCUGGUAGAAUUCCCGGUGUAGCGGUGGAAUGCGUAGAGAUCGGGAAGAAUACCUGUGGCGAAGGCGGCC
rnacentral:rRNA from 1 species